UACGAGGGGCCCAAGCGUUAUUCGGAUUUACUGGGCUUAAAGAGUUCGUAGGCGGCGCAGAAAGUAGGGUGUGAAAGCCCUCGGCUCAACCGAGGAAUUGCGCUCUAAACUACUGUGCUCGAGUGACCUAGAGGUGAGCAGAACUGAUGGUGGAGCGGUGAAAUGCGUUGAUAUCAUCAGGAAUACCGGAGGCGAAGGCGGCUCGCUGGGGGUAUUCUGACGCUGAGGAACGAAAGCCAGGGGAGCGAACGGG
rnacentral:rRNA from 1 species